GAAUAAUUCACACUCAUUCAUUAUUCAAUUUCACUUUAUUGAGUGAGUGUGAACAGGUAUGAACCCAACCCAAAUCCGGGGACCAAGAUUCCAGCCUAACCCAGCUCAGCCCGUUUGGGUUGAGCUGACCCGACAUUUUCGUUGGGUGCUCACCUCUGAUGUGUGCUUCGCGAUGAUGCUUUUUGUAAGUGGGAAAGGAACUUUCUAUCACUCAUCCAGGCUCACACUCGUUGUGUUGUUCUCUCUAUUUUUAAUAAUUGUGUCGAAUAAUUAUAUUAGAGAGUUAAUUAUAAAUUAUAACAAGUGUUCCAACUAAUUAAUAGACUUCACUCAUAAUUAACUAAGUACUUUAAUUUGAUAUAUUGACCGGGUUCGUAUUUUCUGCGGUGCUGAUUCGGUUGUUUGACCAAAAUGCAUCGUUGCGUAGUGAUGGGAUGCAGGAAUUUGCGGGAAAAUGCAUCAAGUUCUGGACUUACAUUUUUUGCUUUCCCGGAAGAUCACAGGACGCUAGUUUGGUGUACAACAUUAAAUCUUGACGCAGGGGCCUCUUAUAAAGGAAAAGUCAUCUGCAGUAAACAUUUCUUGGCUGAAGAUAUGAAAAUCACAAGAAAACUCCUUCCUACUGCAACCCCUAAGAUACUGCAAAUUAAACCAAUGAGCGAUCUUACCGACACAUCAAUGAGCGGAAAGAAAUUUAUUAGUCGCUCUACCCAAUCAGAUACGGAGCCGCCAAUUUCUGCAUCUUAAAUUAUUUGGUCUAAUUAAUUGAUUAACUGGCACGUGUUGUGAUGCAUCAUGCAUCAUAACAAGUGAAUUAUGAUUAUUAUGCAUAACUUCUAACUUUCUAGACCAAACCUAGCCAAAUUUAGGUUACGUAAUUUGUGAAUGGGUCUAUCGCCGUGUCAUUUAAUGACACGGCGACAGUUCCACUUAAUGAUAAUAUCAUUAAAUGUCUGCCCCAUUGUGUGUGCUCGAAUUUUUAUAGCCGGUCACCUCAUUUGAAUAUUUUUACGCAUUUGCGAGAGACAGUUUAUUCAACCUGGAAAGCCCUGUAUCGCCGAAAAUUGGCAUAGUUAGAUUUAUGCAAAUGAGGCGACACGCACAUAUACGAGGAAAGUACGUCUCUAUCCAUAUCCGUGUAGGUAACAAGGAACCCUUUGAGGUGUCGGUCCACUAUGUUUUUCAGAAUCUACUAGAACCCUAGAUAAAGGAUUUAUUCUUAUUUCCGUGUAAAACAAAUAUUUAGCGCCGUGGCGUGGCGCAAUAUUCGUCAAAUUGGAAUGUUUUUAUUCUUAAAACCGCCAAUAAUUUUGAAAUCAUGGGCGAAUUUUCAAAAUUUUUGAACAGAAUCAUGACAAGGACUUUCAUAUAUCAUGAAUUUAAAAAAAAAUAAUUAAAAAAAUUGGAUUUUUUAGGGAUGAGGUUAGUCGAAAAAAUCCGAAAAAUAUUUGAAAAAUUAAAGAUUUCGAGUUUUUACUUUUUUCUUAAAAUUUCGACUUUUGUGAUCAUUUUAAGUGCAAAAUUUUGAAAAUCCCACGCAAACUUCAAAAGUUAUGGACUUACAAUAAUCAAAACCGGAAUUUCGAAAGACAGAAAAAAAAUGAUUUUGAAAAGAUUUGCACACUUUGUAUACCUGAUUUUUGUGAGUACACAUGUAUCACUACUUUGGUUCUACUCCGCCCCUUGCCCCUAGGGGAGUGGCUUAAAGUCGCAAAAUCCGAAAACUGUGCAGCGGAUUUCUCGAUAACGGAAAACGAUAUCGAGAUGCUACUUUCGCCAAAAGUUUCCUAAUGUUUUUUUUUCCUAGCUUUUUUUGAAAUUCUAAAAACGAGAUUUCCAAAAAAAUAACUUUGAAAAAUUUUGGAUGAAAAUUUCAAGUCUCACAACACCCCAUAAAGGAGUGUUGUGAAGUGUCGUAUCGUUGGAAAGGUAUUGAUGAGAGGAUUCAGAAUAUAUGAGUUAAACCAGAGGAAGUGUUCCACAAAAGCAUUUUCCAUAUUUCGCAAGACAAAGUGUUAAACUUGGGUUCUGGUGGGUAUCCACCACCAUCGCGCGGAUUCGUGCGUCAGUGCCGUAUCCGUCGCACUUUGUCAACCUCACUCAAUCAUGCGUCUCAUUUAAUUAACUAUACUGGGUUACUUAAAUGUAGGCUUAUCAAAAUACAAAAAAAUGAUGUGUUGAUAUAUCACUAGCCCUCGUUAGUUACGGCACUUGCCGUAUAAGUCCCUCCCUCAGAAACUUUGACCCCAAAUUUCUCAUGGUACCAGCGUUUCCCUUCGGGCAACAAAAGCUGAAAAUGUAGCUGUUCCCAAGGAGAAAAAUCUGGCAUCGGGUUGUCCGAAGUAAAUGGCUGGUACCAUUCGGUUUUUAAGGAUUUCUGUGUAUGUAAAAAAACCGCCAAUUUUCGAAUUUUGAAACUCUUGAUGCAUUAAAAUGUUCAUAUUCCAAGGGGAAGUCAAAUUGCAAAUGCAAGUAUAGGUCUAACUCUUGUUCUACACGAUGUACAUUGACUUUCUCAUUUUUCCGAACUUUCUUCCUUUAUUUUUAUAGGGGGUGUGGUUGCACAGAAUUCAAAAAAUGUUGUGGUACAUUUGUCCUUGUACCCACAAUUGCAUUUACAAUUAAUUUUAUUUGAUUCAGUGAAAUCGAUGCGAAAAGCGAUGGAACGUAUCCGUCAUCCUCUCUCAUAUAUACUUUGUUGGGUCUGAGACCACCCCCUGUUGAUGUAAAGACCAGAGAAUAUUAUUGAGUUUUGGUUUUUCUUGUAUGCAGACGUUAACACAAUAGCAGGUUGAGAGCUAACAUUCAUAUUGAGAGUUAACAUUUAUUAUUUACAAAAUUAUUUACAAAAUUAUUUAUUAAAUCUACAUGCAAAUCAUACAUGUAGAUAUAUUACCAAGUGAGAUUUGUAAAAGUGAGAUUUCUGCAAUCCUGUCUUAAACAACUUUUUCAGAAAAAUAACAACUUUUAGUACAAUUUGCCUUCAACUAACCAUCUUUAAUAAAUAUAAUCAGGAGAAAAUCCUAUCAUACUUAAUACAGUUUGAUGUUCCUAGAUUAUCUCAAGUUGUCAUUUCGCCCCGGUUUGACAACAACGCAGGAACCGUGUAGUUCAGUAUACGCGAAUAAAACCAGAUUUUCAAUCCUUUCAUGAAUUUCAAAACAGUGAAUCCUCCCACGCCACAGAAAACACAUAACGGUUUAAAAGCCAUGAAUACUCUCCUUAGGUAUCCUCGAUCGUGACAUCGUUCUAAAUGUCGUUCCCAUUUCCUCUUCAAUUCUACCGUCUUCUCAUUCACGCUAAUCCCCAAUGGUAGCAAAGCAUCGAUAAUCGCUGGAAUCAGGACCGCUAUUGCCGGGAAGUAGAGGUUGGCAUCGGUGUUACUUUGUGCAGCCUGAUGGACACGAAAUUAAACAGCACACUUAAAAGUAGUGCAAAUUCCAUCAGUAUGGCAGCCAUGCUAUGGCUGCACCCCGGGAUAAAAUAUCAUUAAUCAGCUGCAGAAUUAUAGUUAAUUCGAAAUACUUCAAGACUUGUUUUCUAGCAGUAUGUCUCGAAAUUCGGACUGAAAUUGCCCACAAGUCCAAUUUACGAAUCCCAUCGAGGACAAGUAGUGCUGAUAGCGGUAACAUGCAAAGAAAGAAAGCCAGCAGACGAAAGUAUUGAAGGGCAGGGAGAAACUGUAAAAGGCGUAGUGGAAGUGUAGCAAGGUGCCCGAAUAAACUAUUUAUUUCCAAGUGCAGCACAUAUUUCAAAAAGAGGUAGCCCACAUCCAACUCAAAGUAGAGUAGAAGGGUGAACAAGAAAUAAGGAUAUAUGGAAAAAAGCACGACAUUUAUGUUCAAGAUAAGUGCAAGCGGAGCAAUAUUUUUGCGCGAGGAUCCUGAAAAAAUAAUAAUUUUGGUUACAUCCUAUUUUAAGUAUCAUUUAAAUUUAAAAUCAUACAUAUUUUCUCUUUCCGCUGUACAAAAUAAUUGCAGGUUUUUUAAUCUGCUCGACGUGUAGAUAAAUACUCAAUUCAACCGUUACGAGAAGAAACGAUGUUAUCUCGAAAAUGCUACACAACAACAAAACUGUCAGAGGUGGUGAAAUGAGCCCAUAGAUGUUGAGAAGAAUUAUGACAGUAGAGGAGACAAGGAUGGCAGGAGUGAUGACAAAUACCACAAUUAUCCAUUCAAUUAGCAAACCUGGAGACUUGGUGGAGAUGAAGGUAUGACUGGUCUUGUCCCAUCCCAAAGGGCAUUUCCAACAGUAAUGGAAACAAGUUGGUAAACUUAGCAGUCGUUUCCAUACGAGGGGGAUGCUAUACUCGAAAUUAGGCAAGUUACCAGUAUUAGAUUCCAAAAUACGGGGGACGAUAAUUUAAAACCAUUGAGUAGAACUCAUUUAUUGAAUAGUUUUUAAAUCGAGUUUCUUAAACCUUUGCAAAAUAACUUCAACUAUGCCUAAACUAAAUUAAAACUAACUUCCAAGAGCAGUAAAAUCCUAGAAGUGAUAGAUAUUUACCUACCUUAUAAUCUAUUUUGAUGCAGACUUGAUUUUGAAUUGCUGUUAAGGAUUCAAUUUUAUAUAUUGAAACUUUCGGUGACCGGUCAAUUUGGUCCGGUCAAUUUGGUCGGGUCAGUUUGGUCUUAAACAAAUUCGGUCUCGCCAAUUUGGUCUAGCCGAUUUGGUCAAGCCAAUUUGGUCUGGUUAGUUUGGUCUAUGCAUUUUGGUUUGACGCAUCUUCUGCUUAUGGCAUAGUUGACCAAAUUACUAAAUUAAUUCGUACAUAAUUAAAUUACUAAUUACAAUAAUAAAACUUUUCGUUGAAAAUCGCGAA